rnacentral:rRNA from 1 species
AUAUUGGACAAUGGGCGAAAGCCUGAUCCAGCAAUGCCGCGUGAGUGAAGAAGGCCUUCGGGUUGUAAAGCUCUUUUGUCCGGAACGAAACGGUUGCGGUGAAUAUCCGCGACUACUGACGGUACCGGAAGAAUAAGCCACGGCUAACUACGUGCCAGCAGCCGCGGUAAUACGUAGGUGGCGAGCGUUGUCCGGAUUUACUGGGCGUAAAGGGCGUGCAGGCGGCCUGUUAAGUCUAGGGUGAAAGCUCCCGGCUCAACUGGGAGAGGUCCUUGGAUACUGGCGGGCUUGAGGGAGGUAGAGGAGAAUGGAAUUCCCGGUGUAGUGGUGAUAUGCGUAGAUAUCGGGAGGAACACCUGUGGCGAAGGCGGUUCUCUGGGCCUUACCUGACGCUGAGACGCGAAAGCGUGGGGAGCGAAC